GUAGGUGAACCUGCGGAAGGAUCAUUAAUGAGUAUAAGCGGACCGACGGCCUACAAGCCGAAGGCUCCCAACUCCCACCCUUUGUUUACCAUCCCCCAUACUUCGGCGGGCGACGUAGCGGGAGGCCCUGUAAUGGGGUACCCUCCGCUGCGACCCGUCGGCCUUACAAAACCUCAAGCUAUAACAGUGCCGUCUGAGCAUUUGCAAGCAAAGAAUAAAAACUUUCAACAACGGAUCUCUUGGUUCUG
rnacentral:misc_RNA from 1 species